UACGGGGGGGGCAAGCGUUGUUCGGAAUUACUGGGCGUAAAGGGCUCGUAGGCGGCCAACUAAGUCAGACGUGAAAUCCCUCGGCUUAACCGGGGAACUGCGUCUGAUACUGGAUGGCUUGAAUCCGGGAGAGGGAUGCGGAAUUCCAGGUGUAGCGGUGAAAUGCGUAGAUAUCUGGAGGAACACCGGUGGCGAAGGCGCCAUCCUGGACCGGCAUUGACGCUGAGGAGCGAAAGCCAGGGGAGCAAACGGG
rnacentral:rRNA from 1 species